UACGUAGGGUGCGAGCGUUGUCCGGAAUUACUGGGCGUAAAGAGCUCGUAGGUGGUUUGUCGCGUUGUUCGUGAAAACCGGGGGCUUAACCCUCGGCGUGCGGGCGAUACGGGCAGACUUGAGUACUGCAGGGGAGACUGGAAUUCCUGGUGUAGCGGUGGAAUGCGCAGAUAUCAGGAGGAACACCGGUGGCGAAGGCGGGUCUCUGGGCAGUAACUGACGCUGAGGAGCGAAAGCCAGGGGAGCAAACGGG
rnacentral:rRNA from 1 species